rnacentral:rRNA from 1 species
AGCAGCCGCGGUAAUUCCAGCUCCAAUAGCGUAUAUUAAAGUUGUUGCAGUUAAAAAGCUCGUAGUUGAAUUUCGGGAUUCUACCGUUGGUCGGGCUAUUGUUUGUACUGGCGUGUAGAAUUUCUACCUUCUGGGGAACUAUCAUGUUAUUAAUUUAGCGAGGUAGGAAACCAGGACCUUUACCUUGAAAAAAUUAGAGUGUUCAAAGCAGGCUUAUGUCUGAAUACAUUAGCAUGGAAUAAUAAAAUAGGACGGUGGUCCUGUUUUGUUGGUUUCUGAAUCACCGUAAUGAUUAAUAGGGAUAGUUGGGGGCAUUAGUAUUCAAUUGUCAGAGGUGAAAUUCUUGGAUUUAU